rnacentral:rRNA from 1 species
GACGAACGCUGGCGGCGUGCCUAAUACAUGCAAGUAGGACGCAGUCUCGAACGGGUGAGUAACGCGUAGGUAACUGCCUAUUAGAGGGGGAUAACUAUUGGAAACGAUAGCUAAUACCGCAUACUAGUAGAUGGACCUGCGUUGUAUUAGCUAGUAGGUAGGGUAAUGGCCUACCUAGGCGACGAUACAUAGCCGGCCUGAGGGGGUGAUCGGAGAAACUGGGACUGGGACGUGGCCCAGACUCCUACGGGAGGCCACAGUAGGGGAUCUACGGCGAUGGGGGGAACACUGACCAAGCAACGCCGCGUGAGUGAAGAAGGUUUUCGGAUCGGAGAGCUCUGUUGGUAAGGAAGCGGUACUUAACCAGAAAGGGACUGCUAACUACGUGCCAGCAGCCGCGGUAAUAC